CGGACGGGUGCGUAACACGUGAGCAAUCUGCCCUCCAGUGGGGGAUAGCCGGCCUAACGGCCGGGUAAUACCGCGUAACACCUCGGGAUCGCAUGGUUCUGAGGUCAAAGCCGCAAGGCGCUGGGGGAGGAGCUCGCGACCUAUCAGCUUGUUGGUGGGGUAACGGCCCACCAAGGCAACGACGGGUAGCUGGUCUGAGAGGAUGGCCAGCCACAUUGGGACUGAGAUACGGCCCAG
rnacentral:rRNA from 1 species